UACGUAGGGGGCAAGCGUUGUCCGGAAUUACUGGGCGUAAAGGGUGUGUAGGUGGUUUGUUAAGUUGGAAGUGUAAUACCUAGGGCUCAACUCAGGUGCUGCUUCCGAUACUGGCAGACUAGAGUGCGGGAGAGAGUAAUGGACCUCCUAGUGUAGCGGUGGAAUGCGUAGAUAUUAGGAGGAACACCAGCGGCGAAGGCGAUUACUUGGACCGUAACUGACACUGAAACACGAAAGCGUAGGGAGCAAACAGGAUUAGAUACCCUGGUAGUCCACGCUGUAAACUAUGAAUACUAGAUGAAGGGGGUAUCGACUCCCCCUGCGUCGAAGCUAACGCAUUAAGUAUUCCGCCUGGGGAGUACGGCCGCAAGGUUGAA
rnacentral:rRNA from 1 species